CAGUCACCGCGGGAACACGGAGGGUGCAAGCGUUAAUCGGAAUUACUGGGCGUAAAGCGCACGCAGGCGGUUUGUUAAGUCAGAUGUGAAAUCCCCGAGCUUAACUUGGGAACUGCAUUUGAAACUGGCAAGCUAGAGUCUUGUAGAGGGGGGUAGAAUUCCAGGUGUAGCGGUGAAAUGCGUAGAGAUCUGGAGGAAUACCGGUGGCGAAGGCGGCCCCCUGGACAAAGACUGACGCUCAGGUGCGAAAGCGUGGGGAGCAAACAGGAUUAGAUACCCCGGUAGUCCCUGUCUCUUAUAC
rnacentral:rRNA from 1 species